rnacentral:rRNA from 1 species
UCACAAACGUUAUUCGGAAGUACUGGGCUUAAAGGGUGCGUAGGCGGCGCGGUAAGUUGGGUGUGAAAUCCCUCGGCUCAACCGAGGAAUUGCGCUCAAAACUACCGUGCUCGAGGGAGAUAGAGGAGCGCGGAACUUAGGGUGGAGCGGUGAAAUGCGUUGAUAUCCUAGGGAACACCGGUGGCGAAGGCGGCUCACUGGGGCUUUUCUGACGCUGAGGAACGAAAGCCAGGGUAGCGAACGGG